CAGUCGCCGCGGUAAAACGAGGGAUCCUAGCGUUGUUCGGAAUCAUUGGGCGUAAAGAGUAUGUAGGCGGCUUGGUAAGUCAGUUGUGAAAUCCCCGGGCCUAACCCGGGAAGUGCAAUUGAUACUGCCAAGCUUGAAUUUGGAAGAGGGUAGUGGAAUUCCUGGUGUAGUGGUGAAAUACGUAGAUAUCAGGAGGAACACCGAAGGCGAAGGCGGCUACCUGGUCCUAAAUUGACGCUGAGAUACGAAAGCAUGGGGAUCAAACAGGAUUAGAUACCCGAGUAGUCCCUGUCUCUUAUAC
rnacentral:rRNA from 1 species